AGCCCCUCAGGGAGUGGCUGCCCAUGACUGAACUGGUGUCCACCUGAGUAGUAUGAGAGGAAAUCUUGAGGUUCUAUUGCUCUGGCCCCCAGAGUAAAGUCCGAGGUCUGAACUCUGCCCUGCCCAAAGCGAAGGCUUACUGAGAGCGAGACUGGAGGCGUGCGUGUGAUGUGUAUUGGUGAUCUGCUUUGGCCAAGUCUCAAGUUAAUGAAUGAUGCUGCACACCAAGCAAGAUGAACGGAUACCCAGCUAGUGCCAGUGCUGAUGUGCAAACUACAGAAUUUUCUGUCGUUUUUGAUCAUCUCUUUAGUAUUUGCAGACCAGAGUAAGCUCUGAGCUAUGGCUCCAGCACCAUACCUGCCUGCCUGCAACCAUGCUUCCAGCCAUGAUGAUCAUGGACUCACCCUCUGAAACUGUAAAGCAAAGCCCCCAAUUAAAUGUGUUCCCAAUUAAAAAGUUA